CAAGAACCUGGGGGCAGAAGGAGCCAGGUGAGAGGGAGGCAACCCAACUCCCCCAAGACCCGACAGCCGCUCGCACCCACCCUGCCCUAGGACCGAGUGGUACUCACUUCAAUAUUCCCACCAACACGGGCCAACAGAGGAGGCAAUGGCUUAUCUUUAUCAUUCCGCAGGCCCUUGCGACUGGGCCUGCGGGGAGCUACAAGAAGAAAAAGGACGUGUGAGCGACGCUGAUCGGGAUGUUAGACAAAGCAACAGAUCUGGGGGACUCUCCAGAACAGAUACCUCUCUCCAGUGUGGGGGCCUCAGCAUUCCAGACUGCUCUGAUCUCAUACUCCUCUCUCUGGAUGUGCUCACACGACAGAGGAGGAAGACAGCACUAGAGAGUCCUACACCAACAAAUAAAUGCUUCAGCCACGAAGUGAGGAUUCUGCAACAACCCACUGCUCAAAACUGUCUCAGGACCCUGUCUAACCACAAGGAGCAGAAAAGAAUAACCACUCCCUUCUUUUUUUGGCUGUGCCAUGUGGCUUACAGGAUCCCAGUUCCCUGAUCAAAGGCUGAACCUGGGCCCUCAAUAGUGAAAGCGUGGAGUCCUAACCACUGGAUCACCAGGAAAUUCCCUUCUUACUGUUCACUAGGAUCCAAGCGCCAUGUCUCCUUGUCUACUGCUAUACCUCACUUAGAAGAGGACCUGGGGACUUCCCUGUGGAACAAUACUUCAACUUUAGAAAAAACUACUUUCCUUAAAAGAAAAAGGGAAAAAGGUGUUUCUGUGUAUAUACACGUCUAUAUAUAUGCAUACACACAUGUGAUUUAUAUGUAUAUAAAAUAGUUUGUAAAAUAAAUAUCACUUAUCCCCA